AUUGAACGCUGGCGGCAGGCCUAACACAUGCAAGUCGAGCGGAGCGGCGGACGGGUGAGUAAUGCCUAGGAAUCUGCCUGGUAGUGGUGGAGAAGGUCCGGAAACGGGCGCUAAUACCGCAUACUAUCAGAUUAACCUAGGGCGGAUUAGGUAGUUGGUGGGGUAAAGGCCUACCAAGGCGACGAUCCGUAACUGGUCUGAGGGGAUGAUCAGUCAAACUGGAACUGGAACGCGGUCCAAACUCCUACGGGGGGAAGCGGUGGGAAAUAUUGGACAAGGGGCGAAAGCCGAUUCCAGCCAUGCCGCGGUUGUGAAGAAGGUCUUCGGAUUGUAAAGCACUUUAAGUUGGGAGACGUUACCGACAGAAUAAGCACCGGCUACCUUCGUGCAAGCAGCCGCGGUAAUC
rnacentral:rRNA from 1 species